rnacentral:misc_RNA from 1 species
UAGAUGCAACCAUUGGAUACUCAAUACCUGCUCCACACAGACCCAUGAGAAAAAUAAAAUCAAUACUUGAAAAAAUUAUCAUGAUCUAUAGAGCAAUAUCUACUGAAAUGGCAUCUUUAAGUGUUGCAUCCAAGUAUAUCAGGCCAUUCAGAGCUUUAAGCACAAGAAAACUUCAGGUCAAAUGAUUUUUUUGCCCACCAAUAAUAUAGAAAAGUAG